rnacentral:rRNA from 1 species
CCUUCGGGGGCAGAGUGACAGGUGGUGCAUGGUUGUCGUCAGCUCGUGUCGUGAGAUGUUGGGUUAAGUCCCGCAACGAGCGCAACCCUUGAUCUUAGUUGCCAGCAUUCAGUUGGGCACUCUAAGGUGACUGCCGGUGACAAACCGGAGGAAGGUGGGGAUGACGUCAAAUCAUCAUGCCCCUUAUGACCUGGGCUACACACGUGCUACAAUGGACAGAACAAAGGGCAGCGAAACCGCGAGGUUAAGCCAAUCCCACAAAUCUGUUCUCAGUUCGGAUCGCAGUCUGCAACUCGACUGCGUGAAGCUGGAAUCGCUAGUAAUCGCGGAUCAGCAUGCCGCGGUGAAUACGUUCCCGGGCCUUGUACACACCGCCCGUCACACCACGAGAGUUUGUAACACC